UACGGAGGGUGCAAGCGUUAAUCGGAAUUACUGGGCGUAAAGCGCACGCAGGCGGUUUGUUAAGUCAGGUGUGAAAUCCCCGGGCUCAACCUGGGAACUGCAUUUGAUACUGGCAAGCUUGAGUCUCGUAGAGGGGGGUGGAAUUCCAGGUGUAGCGGUGAAAUGCGUAGAGAUCUGGAGGAAUACCGGUGGCGAAGGCGGCCCCCUGGACGAAGACUGACGCUGAGGUGCGAAAGCGUGGGGAGCAAACAGG
rnacentral:rRNA from 1 species